CAAGGAAUUUUCCCCAAUGGGCGCAAGCCUGAGGGCGCAACGCCGCGUGCAGGACGACGGCCUUCGGGUUGUAAACUGCUUUUGCGUGGGACGAUAACGACGGUACCACGCGAAUCAGCCCCGGCUAACUCUGUGCCAGCAGCCGCGGUAAUACCGCGGGGGCAAGCGUUGUCCGGCCUUACUGGGCGUAAAGCGCACGCAGGUGGUAGCGCAAGUGGGGUGUGAAAGCCGCCAGCUCAACUGGCGGAGGCCAUCCCAAACUGGGUGACUUGAGGCCUGUAGAGGUAUGUGGAAUUGCCGGUGUAGUGGUGAAAUGCGUAGAGAUCGGCAGGAACACCCAGGGGGAAACCAGCAUACUGGACAGGACCUGACACUCAGGUGCGACAGCGUGGGGAGCGAACCGGAUUAGAUACCCCCGUAGUCC
rnacentral:rRNA from 1 species